rnacentral:rRNA from 1 species
AUGUGUUGUUGGGUAGGGGAGCGUUCUGUAAGCCGUUGAAGGUGGCCUGUGAGGGUUGCUGGAGGUAUCAGAAGUGCGAAUGCUGACAUAAGUAACGAUAAUGCGGGUGAAAAACCCGCACGCCGGAAGACCAAGGGUUCCUGUCCAACGUUAAUCGGGGCAGGGUGAGUCGACCCCUAAGGCGAGGCCGAAAGGCGUAGUCGAUGGGAAACAGGUUAAUAUUCCUGUACUUGGUGUUACUGCGAAGGGGGGACGGAGAAGGCUAUGUUAUCCGGGCGACGGUUGUCCCGGUUUAAGCAUGUAGGCGGGUGUUCCAGGUAAAUCCGGAACGCUGUUAACGCUGAGGUGUGAUGACGAGGUACUACGGUACUGAAGUAACAGAUGCCCUGCUUCCAGGAAAAGCCUCUAAGCCUCAGGUAACACGAAAUCGUACCCCAAACCGACACAGGUGGUCAGGUAGAGAAUACCAAGGCGCUUGAGAGAACUCGGGUGAAGGAACUAGGCAAAAUGGUGCCGUAACUUCGGGAGAAGGCACGCUGGUGUGUAGGUGAAGUCCCUGCGGAUGGAGCUGAAACCAGUCGAAGAUACCAGCUGGCUGCAACUGUUUAUUAAAAACACAGCACUGUGCAAACACGAAAGUGGACGUAUACGGUGUGACGCCUGCCCGGUGCCGGAAGGUUAAUUGAUGGGGUUAUCCCUUGGGAGAAGCUCUUGAUCGAAGCCCCGGUAAACGGCGGCCGUAACUAUAACGGUCCUAAGGUAGCGAAAUUCCUUGUCGGGUAAGUUCCGACCUGCACGAAUGGCGUAAUGAUGGCCAGGCUGUCUCCACCCGAGACUCAGUGAAAUUGAACUCGCUGUGAAGAUGCAGUGUACCCGCGGCAAGACGGAAAGACCCCGUGAACCUUUACUAUAGCUUGACACUGAACACUGGUCCUUGAUGUGUAGGAUAGGUGGGAGGCUUUGAAGUGUGGACGCCAGUCUGCAUGGAGCCAACCUUGAAAUACCACCCUUUAAUGGCUGGUGUUCUAACGUAGACCCGUAAUCCGGGUUGCGGACAGUGUCUGGUGGGUAGUUUGACUGGGGCGGUCUCCUCCCAAAGAGUAACGGAGGAGCACGAAGGUUAGCUAAUCCUGGUCGGACAUCAGGAGGUUAGUGCAAUGGCAUAAGCUAGCUUGACUGCGAGCGUGACGGCGCGAGCAGGUGCGAAAGUAGGUCAUAGUGAUCCGGUGGUUCUGAAUGGAAGGGCCAUCGCUCAACGGAUAAAAGGUACUCCGGGGAUAACAGGCUGAUACCGCCCAAGAGUUCAUAUCGACGGCGGUGUUUGGCACCUCGAUGUCGGCUCAUCACAUCCUGGGGCUGAAGUAGGUCCCAAGGGUAUGGCUGUUCGCCAUUUAAAGUGGUACGCGAGCUGGGUUUAGAACGUCGUGAGACAGUUCGGUCCCUAUCUGCCGUGGGCGCUGGAGAAUUGAGGGGGGCUGCUCCUAGUACGAGAGGACCGGAGUGGACGCAUCACUGGUGUUCGGGUUGUCAUGCCAAUGGCAUUGCCCGGUAGCUAAAUGCGGAAAAGAUAAGUGCUGAAAGCAUCUAAGCACGAAACUUGCCCCGAGAUGAGUUCUCCCUGACCCUUUAAGGGUCCUGAAGGAACGUUAAAGACGAUGACGUUGAUAGGCUGGGUGUGUAAGCGUAGCGAUACGUUGAGCUAACCAGUACUAAUGAACCGUGAGGCUUAACCUUACAACGCCGAAGCUGUU